GGGAAUAUGGCUCAGUGGUAGAGUGCUUGCCUAGCAUGCAUGAAGCCCUGGGUUUGAUUCCCCAGAACCA
rfam:Dipodomys ordii contig_63704, whole genome shotgun sequence.